rnacentral:rRNA from 1 species
GAUGAACGCUGGCGGCGUGCCUAAUACAUGCAAGUCGAGCGCACGGACGAGAAGCUUGCUUCUCUGAUGUUAGCGGCGGACGGGUGAGUAACACGUGGAUAACCUACCUAUAAGACUGGGAUAACUUCGGGAAACCGGAGCUAAUACCGGAUGAUAUUUUGAACCGCAUGGUUCAAAAGUGAAAGACGGUCUUGCUGUCACUUAUAGAUGGAUCCGCGCUGCAUUAGCUAGUUGGUAAGGUAACGGCUUACCAAGGCAACGAUGCAUAGCCGACCUGAGAGGGUGAUCGGCCACACUGGAACUGAGACACGGUCCAGACUCCUACGGGAGGCAGCAGUAGGGAAUCUUCCGCAAUGGGCGAAAGCCUGACGGAGCAACGCCGCGUGAGUGAUGAAGGUCUUCGGAUCGUAAAACUCUGUUAUUAGGGAAGAACAUAUGUGUAAGUAACUGUGCACAUCUUGACGGUACCUAAUCAGAAAGCCACGGCUAACUACGUG